rnacentral:rRNA from 1 species
AUUGAACGCUGGCGGCAUGCUUUACACAUGCAAGUCGAACGGUAACAGGCCGCAAGGUGCUGACGAGUGGCGAACGGGUGAGUAAUGCAUCGGAACGUGCCCAGUCGUGGGGGGUAACGCAGCGAAAGCUGUGCUAAUACCGCAUACGAUCUGGGGAUGAAAGCGGGGGACCGUAAGGCCUCGCGCGAUUGGAGCGGCCGAUGUCAGAGUAGGUAGUUGGUGGGGUAAAGGCUCACCAAGCCGACGAUCUGUAGCUGGUCUGAGAGGACGACCAGCCACACCGGGAAUGAGACACGGCCCAGACUCCGACGGGAGGCAGCAGUGGGGAAUUUUGGACAAUGGGCGCAAGCCUGAUCCAGCAAUGCCGCGUGCAGGAAGAAGGCCUUCGGGUUGUAAACUGCUUUUGUACGGAGCGAAAAGGCUCUCUCUAAUACAGGGGGCUCAUGACGGUACCGUAAGAAUAAGCACCGGCUAACUACGUGCCAGCAGCCGCAGUAAUAC